rnacentral:rRNA from 1 species
UACGUAGGGGGCAAGCGUUGUCCGGAAUCAUUGGGCGUAAAGCGCGUGUAGGCGGCUCGAUAAGUCUGCUGUGAAAGUUCAGGGCUCGACCCUGAAAUGCCGGUGGAAACUGUCGAGCUAGAGUCCGGAAGAGGCGAGUGGAAUUCCUGGUGUAGCGGUGAAAUGCGCAGAUAUCAGGAGGAACACCAAUGGCGAAGGCAGGUCUCUGGGCCACUACUGACGCUGAGAAGCGAAAGCAUGGGGAGCAAACAGG